rnacentral:tRNA from 1 species
GCCUGGGAACGUCGGCCAGAAUCGGGGCUCUUUCCCUGCUGUUUCGUAAACAGCAGGUCCUCGGUUCAAAUCCGAGUGUCGGCUCCA